ensembl:lncRNA
CACACACACACACCCACCAAGUUAUGUUUGAAUCCACACUGUACAUUAGUGGAUAUGUAUUCAAGGUUUGGUCAGAACGAUUCAUUUUAUUCUUCUUCCUCUUAUUAUUAUUAUUAUUAUUCUUUUUCCUUUUAAUUCUGCCAUGGGACUGUGGGGCAAGUCUGAUGAUUCAUUUGUCUAUGACCUUGCUUCUCUCUCUCUCUUCCUUUAUCUUUAGCGUUGUCUCUUUAUCUCACUAUCUCCUGUCAGCUAGAUGAUUGGAGGCGGGACUCUGGUCAGACUCUCCUGGUGAAGUGUUCUGUUAUCAGCAGCGCUUCUCACAUGAUUGGACACGCAUCAAAGUCUUCAUUUUGCCCACUGUACUUGGAAUACUGCUUUUAAAGCAGUCCCCCAUAUGAGGAAAUCUAAAUAAGUCAAAAGGAUGUAAAGGAGCAUGUAAGACGGCCAAAAAAGUUGCCUCUUCCUGAACUGAGCACCGAGGUACUGAUAUUUUGAAAACAGCGCUGUGCGUGCGUGUGUUAAAUAUAGAGAUUAAAUCAUUGGGCCGAUUAUCUGCACAUGCCUAAUUGAAACAAAUCACAUUACACAUCUUGCUAAUUGCAGUCUAUUAAUCACUUAAACAAGUUGUUUAUCUUUCAGCAUUGUGUAGCUGUACUGUCUGACAUCCAACCUCCACUAAAUAGUCUUAUCAUAGGCUGAUUCGCAGAUCAUAGGUUUAACUGGUCGUGUCUGCGAGACGCCAUUUCCUGUUCCUGAUCACUGCCUAAAUCUCUCUCUCUCUCUCUCUCUCUUAAUUAGUCCCAAGUGAUACACCUUUAGUGAUUCUCUCCGAUUCGUUCCAUUUAUAGUGCCGCGUGAAUCAAGUGCUCAUCAUUAAUCAUGACCAGCAAGUCGUUUGGGGUGUUCGGGGUUUUUUUUUUUUUGUUUGUUUUUUUUUGCAAAUGGUUAAUCGACAACGGAAUAUGCGUUCAGUUACUCUGAACAGGUAGAACCGCUUCCUUACCAGCCUCGAAUAAACCCGAUGCACAUACAGCCUUGACCUUCCGUCUCCGUGCAUGGAGAACAUGUAAUUAAUGGAGAAAAUAAUCAUUACCGCUACGUUGAGCUCUAAUCUCUAAUUGUACAAAGCUAAUUAAUCAACUCCAUAUUUAUAAAUGCGCACAUCCUAAUUGGUUGCCAUGGCCGCACGGUUAAAUAUAUCUCUCCUCUCGCAGUCGGGGUUUUGCAUCCCUUUCUUCUAAUCUGUUCUUUUUCAUUUAUCACUUCUUUUUUUUUUUUUUUUUUUUUUGUCACUUGGUCUGAAGGCGGGCGCUAUUCAUAGAGAGAGGGAGAGAGAGAGUGUGAUGAAAUUAAUCAUUGAGAGAGUGAUUGUUUGUGUAUGUUGUGUGUGUGUGUGUGUGUGUGUGUGUGUGUAUAUAUAUAUAGAUAUUUUUUGGUGUAAGGUGUCUGCAACAUAUGUACACAGUUUAUUUUUUUUUAAAUGAAGAUGAUGUGAUUUAAAUGUCCAAAUAUCUAUUGUAAAUAGAAAAUAGACGGACCACCGCUUAAGUGUUUCGCCCACAGAUCCCACCUAAACUGCAUGGCACGAAAUGUCAUCGCAACACUAUUCACAAAUAAAUAAAUAAAUACACCCCCCCCCCCCAAAAAAACAAAAAAAAACAAAAAAAAAAAAAAACACCCCAAACACAUCUGUUCAAGAGAUACAUCAAUGGCGGUGUAUUCUCACACACUCUAGUGUACUGUAGACACCUAUUUUUAGUGAGCGGUGAAGUCUCACACACUUAUAAAGACCUAUUUUAGUGAGUGAUGCAGCCUCGUUCACACACACAUAGAGAGCCACCUGUCCACCUGAUUCUGUGUGUGUGUGUGAGAUAAACGUGUGAGUCAGCGUGUUGAACUGUAUCUGACUCGAAAGUAGUAAUUUCCUCCAGGGUCUUGGAGACACACACACAGAGCGUAAACUGGGCUUCAAACCUAGUACACAGUCCUGUAAAUGAUCAUCAUCAUCAUCCCCACUGCCCUUGAAUCUAUAAGAGCGUCCCUCACCGAGCGAGAGUAAGGCAUGCUGGGUAAAGUAGUUUGCGAGCUGGAGUGUCAUUCGACAGCAAGCUCAGGUUCAGUUCAUUCCUCACAAGGCUGCACCUCAGCGCUGACAAAGGGAAUCGGCGCUCUGCCGCUGUGGGGCUUUAGCGUGUCCGCUGCUAAUUAGCGGGAGUACACGUCGACCUUGCGGUGCUCAGGCUCCUCGAGAAGCGGAUCAGCUAAGGACGGCACACUCGGAGAAUACUAAGGAAGGAGGUGUAACCUCUGCGCUAGGAGAGGCGGUUCUUAGCUGAUCGGUUUCAUUUCUACAGCUCUCAAUCCCUUCAUUCAUCACGCCGUCCCCUCGUGUCGUCCACUUCGGUUCGAAGCCCGUGUGAUUUAGACUCGAAGCCUUAAAUGUCACCUGACCUAACCUGUCUCUCUGUACAUAGUAUAAAUAUUAUAAAUAUGAACGUGUGAUGAUGAAGAAAAAUAAGGUCGGAUUAAUUGAUGUCACAUUUGUGUGUGUGUGUGUGUGUGUGUGUAUACAUGCACAUGGGAAGCAUGAAGGAAUGUUCUAUUUCCUCAGUUUUGACUGACUUGAUUUAACGGCUUUUAAUUUGUUUUUAAACCAUCUUGUCGGUGCUCGAGCAGUGCUUUAUUGUUGCAUUUUGAAUUUCUGUGCUAUGAUGCUUAGAAUAAUUCAUGAUUCUGCUGUGCCCUGUUGGCCAACAUUUUCUGACACUCUACCAACAUAACUAAACAAAUGUCACGUUUUAGGAUUUAUUUUCCAUUUUAGGGUUGCCAGUCUUUGUAAUGUUUUUUUUAUUUUAUUUGGUUUGUAAUUAAAGUAUUAAAAAAAAAACAACAACA